GCCAGACUCCUACGGGAGGCAGCAGUGAGGAAUAUUGGUCAAUGGGCGAGAGCCUGAACCAGCCAAGUCGCGUGAGGGAAGACGGUCCUAUGGAUUGUAAACCUCUUUUGCCGGGGAGCAAAAAGCGGUACGCGUACCGCAUCGAGAGUACCCGGAGAAAAAGCAUCGGCUAACUCCGUGCCAGCAGCCGCGGUAAUACGUAGGGUGCGAGCGUUAAUCGGAAUUACUGGGCGUAAAGGGUGUGCAGGCGGCUGAGUAAGACAGAUGUGAAAUCCCCGGGCUUAACCUGGGAACCGCAUAUGUGACUGCUUGGCUAGAGUGCGUCAGAGGGAGGUGGAAUUCCACGUGUAGCAGUGAAAUGCGUAGAUAUGUGGAAGAAUACCGAUGGCGAAGGCAGCCUCCUGGGACGCAACUGACGCUCAUACACGAAAGCGUGGGGAGCAAACAGGAUUAGAUACCCCAGUA
rnacentral:rRNA from 1 species